UCAAUUUUCUUGUGCUUACACUCC
rnacentral:siRNA from 1 species